rnacentral:rRNA from 1 species
GACGAACCGUGCGAACGUUGUUCGGAAUCACUGGGCUUAAAGGGCGCGUAGGCGGGCAGUCAAGUCAGGGGUGAAAUCCCACGGCUCAACCGUGGAAGUGCCCCUGAUACUGAUUGUCUUGAGGGAGGUAGGGGCGUGCGGAACUUCCGGUGGAGCGGUGAAAUGCGUAGAUAUCGGAAGGAACACCGGUGGCGAAAGCGGCGCGCUGGAUCUCUACUGACGCUGAGGCGCGAAAGCCAGGGGAGCAAACGGG